AACGAACGCUGGCGGCAGGCUUAACACAUGCAAGUCGAGCGCCUCGCAAGAGGAGCGGCAGACGGGUGAGUAACGCGUGGGAAUCUACCGUGCUCUACGGAAUAGCUCCGGGAAACUGGAAUUAAUACCGUAUACGCCCUUCGGGGGAAAGAUUUAUCGGGGUAUGAUGAGCCCGCGUUGGAUUAGCUAGUUGGUGGGGUAAAGGCCUACCAAGGCGACGAUCCAUAGCUGGUCUGAGAGGAUGAUCAGCCACAUUGGGACUGAGACACGGCCCAAACUCCUACGGGAGGCAGCAGUGGGGAAUAUUGGACAAUGGGCGCAAGCCUGAUCCAGCCAUGCCGCGUGAGUGAUGAAGGCCCUAGGGUUGUAAAGCUCUUUCACCGGUGAAGAUAAUGACGGUAACCGGAGAAGAAGCCCCGGCUAACUUCGUGCCAGCAGCCGCGGUAA
rnacentral:rRNA from 1 species